rnacentral:lncRNA from 1 species
UGAGUUGUGAUGUUAACGAUGAUCCUAUUUAUAAAACAGUUGUUAUGUGUUGAUGAUGCCAUCCCUGCAUCCAUACAUGUUUUCAAAACUCAUACACAUCAUGCAUCAUGAUCAAAGCUUGUUUUGUUUUAAGUAAAUAAAAAAUAAAAAAAAAUAAAGAAACUGGUACCGCUUGUUUACUACGGAAAUCUUUUGACAUUGCUCACCAAU